AUCCAGCUUACGAGUCCCAAAUAGGACGAAACAGGUGCCGUGGAU
rnacentral:hammerhead_ribozyme from 1 species